ensembl:snoRNA
UGGACCAGUGAUGACCGUUGGUGGAGUAUGAGUCAUGGACGAUGACCACUUUGUGUCUGAAACUCUGAGGUCCAG